CCUACGGGAGGCAGCAGUGGGGAAUAUUGCGCAAUGGGCGAAAGCCUGACGCAGCGACGCCGCGUGAAGGAUGAAGGUCUUCGGAUCGUAAACCUCUGUCAGCAGGGAAGAACGGUCACUGUGGUAAUCAGCAGUGAAUUGACGGUACCUGCAAAGGAAGCCCCGGCUAACUCCGUGCCAGCAGCCGCGGUAAUACGGAGGAUGCGAGCGUUAUCCGGAUUUAUUGGGUUUAAAGGGUGCGCAGGCGGAGGCAAAAGUCAGCGGUAAAAGCGCGGGGCUCAACCCCGCGCCGCCGUUGAAACUGUGUCCCUUGAGUGCGCGAGGGGUAGGCGGAAUGCGUGGUGUAGCGGUGAAAUGCAUAGAUAUCACGCAGAACUCCGAUCGCGAAGGCAGCCUACCGGCGCGCAACUGACGCUCAUGCACGAAAGCGUGGGUAUCGAACAGGAUUAGAUACCCGAGUAGUC
rnacentral:rRNA from 1 species